rnacentral:rRNA from 1 species
CGUUGCCGGAGAGAUCCGGCGUUCCCUUCGGGACCUGCACACAGGUGCUGCAUGGCUGUCGUCAGCUCGUGUCGUGAGAUGUUGGGUUAAGUCCCGCAACGAGCGCAACCCACGUCCUUAGUUGCCAUCAUUGAGUUGGGCACUCUAGGGAGACUGCCGGUGAUAAGCCGCGAGGAAGGUGUGGAUGACGUCAAGUCCUCAUGGCCCUUACGGGAUGGGCUACACACGUGCCACAAUGGCGGUGACAGUGGGAUGCGAGCCUGCGAAGGUGAGCAAAUCCCCAAAAGCCGUCUCAGUUCGGAUUGCACUCUGCAACUCGGGUGCAUGAAGGCGGAAUCGCUAGUAAUCGUGGAUCAGCAUGCCACGGUGAAUACGUUCCCGGGCCUUGUACACACCGCCCGUCACACCAUGGGAGUUGGUCUUACCCGACGGCGCUGCGCCAACCGCGAGGAGGCAGGCGACCACGGUAGGGUCAGCGACUGGGGUGAAGUCGUAACAAGGUAGGCGUAGCGAG